AUUGAACGCUGGCGGCAGGCCUAACACAUGCAAGUCGAGCGGAUGACGGGAGCUUGCUCCUUGAUUCAGCGGCGGACGGGUGAGUAAUGCCUAGGAAUCUGCCUGGUAGUGGGGGACAACGUUUCGAAAGGAACGCUAAUACCGCCUACGUCCUACGGGAGAAAGCAGGGGACCUUCGGGCCUUGCGCUCUCAGAUGAGCCUAGGUCGGAUUAGCUAGUUGGUGAGGUAAUGGCUCACCAAGGCGACGAUCCGUAACUGGUCUGAGAGGAUGAUCAGUCACACUGGAACUGAGACACGGUCCAGACUCCUACGGGAGGCAGCAGUGGGGAAUAUUGGACAAUGGGCGAAAGCCUGAUCCAGCCAUGCCGCGUGUGUGAAGAAGGUCUUCGGAUUGUAAAGCACUUUAAGUUGGGAGGAAGGGCAGUAAGUUAAUACCUUGCUGUUUUGACGUUACCGACAGAAUAAGCACCGGCUAACUCUGUGCCAGCCGCCGCAGUAACAC
rnacentral:rRNA from 1 species